rnacentral:rRNA from 1 species
CCUACGGGAGGCAGCAGUGAGGAAUAUUGGUCAAUGGACGAGAGUCUGAACCAGCCAAGUAGCGUGAAGGAUGACUGCCCUAUGGGUUGUAAACUUCUUUUAUAUGGGAAUAAAACGUUCCACGUGUGGGAUUUUGUAUGUACCAUAUUAAUAAUGAUCGGCUAACUCCGUGCCAGCAGCCGCGGUAAUACGGAGGAUCCGAGCGUUAUCCGGAUUUAUUGGGUUUAAAGGGCGCGUAGGUGGAUUGUUAAGUCAGUUGUGAAAGUUUGCGGCUCAACCGUAAAAUUGCAGUUGAAACUGGCAGUCUUGAGUACAGUAGAGGUGGGCGGAAUUCGUGGUGUAGCGGUGAAAUGCUUAGAUAUCACGAAGAACUCCGAUUGCGAAGGCAGUUCACUGGACUGCAACUGACACUGAGGCUCGAAAGUGUGGGUAUCAAACAGGAUUAGAUACCCGUGUAGUC